CGAUGGCCUAAUAGUCUGAUUCCCGGAUUAGAGCAACACGUUUGGUGUCAAGGCUGGUUCACCAGGUUGAAAAGUAAUGUUGCCCUAUAAAACAAGAUUAUCUCAUCAUUGAAGUUAAAACAGCAUCAUAAAUGAAUGCGUGCAUCAAAUCUAACAGUGUGUGUGUGUGUGUGUGUGUGUGUGUGUGUGUGUGUGUGUGUGUGUGUGUGUGUGUGUGUGUGUGUGUGUGUGUGUGUGUGUGUGUGUGUGUGUGUGUGUGUGUGUGUGUGUUACCAUGUCAACCUUGCACAACGAGCUGGAGGUGGCACAAUGCACUCCCCUAAAAACACGAGCACAUGCCCACACAAGCACAUUCAAAAACACGACCGAAAUCGUCAGUUUGCCAUUUGAGUCAGCACCAUAAUGGGGAAAUACUGUGGGAGUAAGGUGAAAAUAUGGUUAGCCGAUCAGAGUAUCCAAGUCAAGAUAUAAUCGUACAGGAUUUCCUUUAUAAUACCACAUACUACCCCAUCUCUAUCUCCUAAAUAAAUUCAUAAUUUAUCACCCGAGAUUAUAUCUAAGCAGGAUAUGUUGCAAUACUGACCACAGCCAGGGUUGGGAAACAAUAGAAGCAAAGGUGAAAGGAUGCAAAGAAAGGGAGGAAGUCUGUGCGUGUGUGUCUGUAUGUUUGUCCUUUCUUAACUUUCUGAAUACCUAGUCAUGAUGACAGUAUAGCUCCAGUCAAAAUGAAUAUUCACUUUUUCUUACAUAACAUGUCUAUGUAGAUUAGUAGGCCUACUAACACUAGUUAGUAGUAAGACAUGUCUGGUAUUUCUGUGGAAAUAAUUGAAAGGACAAGAGGAGAUAUUUAAAAAAAUAUAAUCUACACAGUUCGGAUUGAUUCGGGGUCAAACUAUGAAAAGUAAACAACAGCCACAAGAGCCCUCAGAUACGUGACUGUUCACACAUACCCAGGAAACCAGUGGUCACAUCUCCUCUCUUGGAUGUGUCCUUCAAGAGUGAAGUGCUAGUCGUGUGUAUGUACCGGAGCCGGUUAGGAACAAAACAUACUGCACGUCUUUAUUUUUUAAUACUGCUCUUUGCCCUGAUUCAAUUGCAUCAAAGAUAUACACGAAUCUCUUACUUGAAGUCUAGUUGAAUACAAAAUGCGAACGUGACAGCAGACCGCUACAGUUGCAGCCCUGUAGCGGAAAAGGAAUACAUUGCGCAUUGAUGUAUUCCUUAAAGAAGUAAUCAAAAUGACCCAUGUGGAAAUAUGCAUGUCGCUACUUACCUUUCAAAUAUACCCGGACUUCACAAUCGCUUGCUUGGCCAACAUUAACAGCUGUCACCGUCAAUAAAAUAGGUAAAGAAAAAAAAGGACGAGCAAAGGGGAGGUAGCCUCAUUUAAAUUCGACUGGCUCGCAUUGGUUUAAUAUGUAUUCCAUCAUUUGAAAGGUCCCCCUGCCCUAACAUAAACGUUCUUUCUGACGUGGGGGGUGUGUGUCAAA